GACAGCUUGAGCUCUGGAGGUCCAGACUAGCCUGGGCAACAUUGGCAAAACCCCAUUUCCACAAAAUAUACAAAACUUAGCCGGGCUUGGUGCUUUGUGCCUGUAGUCCCAGCUACUCAGGAGACUGAGGUAGGAGUGAGGCAGGAGAAUAGGCUCUGGAGGAGGGAACCUAUGGCUGUUUCAUGCCCAACUAAAUUGAAAGGAAAAUCCUAACUUUCGACGCCUAAGUAACAAAAGGACCAGAGGCUACUCAGGCUACUCCCUUUGCAAACUCCCAACCUUUUCUGCGUGGUAGAUGGGAAAUUGGCUGUCCGCAACCAAUCAGACUGAUUGUGGGUGGAGUCCUCCUUUGCAACUUUGUAACUUUACCUUAGCCUCUGAUUGGCUGCAAAAUGCAACCAAUUAGAUGUUGCACAAGAGUGUAACAUUUGUAACUCCACUUCAGCCUCUGAUUGAUGUUGAAAGCAACCAACUGCAGGCCACCACGUCGUUUCCAUGAGGUGAGCAUGAAGUGGCCAAUGGCAAACCUCUAGCCGGAGGUUUCUGGACAGGAGAAGAUUCUACAUGCAGGCCCUUGAGGCGCUGCCUCCCAAAGUGCUGGGAUUACAGGCGUGAGCCACCGCGCCUGGCCUAAUUUUUAUAUAUAAUGUAAGGAUGAAUGUUUAAAUAAACAAAUCUGUCUUCAAGCUGCAUUUGUUAAAACAGCAGAUGGAGAUUUAACUGAGCUGAGGAGGAACAGAGCUCUUUAUCUCCAGCCAUCAAGAGGCGUCUCAUCAAGAAGUUGGCGUGGCUUCUUCUUUGGCCUCUCCUCAGCUUGCAGAUGUCUCCCCUGCAUGUGCCUGUGUCCUCAUCUGUUCUCAUAAGGACACCAGUCAUAUAGAACCAGGGCCACCCUUAUGGCCUCAUGUGAUACUGUGGUGUGGCAAAAAGUGUAUGUUUAGUCUUGGUCCUAGGUUCCUGACAUACAGCUCCCAAAACCCUCAGAAUUUCCUGAGUAAUAGGGAAUUCUGUUAUUCAUAAUAAGCCCCUUUCAACUACACCAGCGUUUAUAUUACUGAGGUGACUCUAGGAGGAAAGGGGCUGGUUACCAGAUGGACCAACCCUGGGAUUAGGAUAAUCCCACCCCCAGCCUCCAGGGUGGGCGGGGCUGCAGCUAAACCCCAUCCACCUCUUCAUCUGCUGUUCAUCCACAUUCUUGGUCACAGCUUCAUAAUAAACCGGUAAACAUUUGUAAAUGUUUCCUUGAGCUUUGCAAGCCACACUAUCAGAUGAUCAACCCCCAGAGAUGGUCUUGGGGACUCCUGAUUUAAAGUCAGUCGUUCAGAUGCACAGGUCACAACGUGGGACUCAUGACUGCCUUCUGAACUGGGGGAAGCCAAAUGGAACUGAGCCCUUAACCUAUGGGGUCUGCACUAACUCCAGGUAGUGUAGAACUGGGUUAAAUUCUAGGACAUCCAGGGGCCUCUGAAGAGAAUUGGAGAAUUACGUGGUGUGGAAAGACCACGUUUGGUGUUAGAAGUGUUCUGCUGAGUAGAGAAACCAUGUUUUCCAUUUUACUUUUCACUUGAUUACCUCUUUAAAGAACCUGUCUCCAAAUACAAUCACAUUCUGAGGUACUGGAGGUUAGGGCUUCAACAUCCGAAUUCUGGGGAACACAACUUGGCCCACAGCAGACUGGCACUCUGUUGAUGAAGCCAUAGGAAAGCAGGCUUCAUACACGCUGAUGGGAAAUAAACCGGGGCAACCUCUACGGACAGCAACUUGUCAGCAUCAAAGUUUUAACGUGCAUUUCCCAAAAGAAGAUUCAUUAAUGGGCAAAAAGUGCACAGAAAGAUGCUCAACAGUAUAAGUAAUUAGGGAAAUGCAAAUCAAACUAAUGAGGUAACACUGCACACUGCCUGGGACAGCUAUACUCCUGGGAUCCACUGGGCAGAUGCACUGCAAUGCUGGUCUUCCCCAAGGUUCCUGCCCUGUCCCUCCUUGCCAUGGGGGCACAUUUAAGGAUGGCCACCUCCACACAAGCCGGUCCAGUGCAGCUUGGUCGGGGGGGUUCUGCUGCACUCCUGGGCAGCUGUGUGGCCGAGUCAAGCUGCUUAUGCUCUCUGGGCCUGAGCUGAGCUAUCAAAUGAGGAAGCCAAACCUGAUCCCAGGCACCUUUGUGCUCCAAAAUUCUCAUUCUCUUGGGCCCAGCACAAUGCCUUCUGGGCUCCCCUCACCACUGAGCUCCACAAGAGUCCUGAGGGGGAAAUCAGAGGACACCAAGCAGCCUGGUCUUGGAC
rnacentral:lncRNA from 1 species